GAUGAACGCUGGCGGCGUGCCUAAUACAUGCAAGUCGAGCGAACAGACGAGGAGCUUGCUCCUCUGACGUUAGCGGCGGACGGGUGAGUAACACGUGGAUAACCUACCUAUAAGACUGGGAUAACUUCGGGAAGCCGGAGCUAAUACCGGAUGAUAUAUUGAACCGCAUGGUUCAAUAGUGAAAGACGGUUUUGCUGUCACUUAUAGAUGGAUCCGCGCCGCAUUAGCUAGUUGGUAAGGUAACGGCUUACCAAGGCAACGAUGCGUAGCCGACCUGAGAGGGUGAUCGGCCACACUGGAACUGAGACACGGUCCAGACUCCUACGGGAGGCAGCAGUAGGGAAUCUUCCGCAAUGGGCGAAAGCUUGACGGAGCAACGCCGCGUGAGUGAUGAAGGUCUUCGGAUCGUAAAACUCUGUUAUUAGGGAAGAACAAAUGUGUAAGUAACUAUGCACGUCUUGACGGUACCUAAUCAGAAAGCCACGGCUAACUACGUG
rnacentral:rRNA from 1 species